AUACGGAGGGUGCAAGCGUUAUUCGGAAUCACUGGGCGUAAAGGGUGCUUAGGCGGUUUGAUAAGUCUGAUGUGAAAUCCUAUGGCUCAACCAUAGAACUGCAUUGGAAACUGUCAGACUAGAAUACUGAAGGGGCAGAUGGAAUUAGUGGUGUAGGGGUAAAAUCCGUAGAUAUCACUAGGAAUACCGAAAGCGAAAGCGAUCUGCUGGGAAGUUAUUGACGCUGAGGCACGAAAGCGUGGGGAGCAAACGGGAUUAGAAACCCUAGUAGUCC
rnacentral:rRNA from 1 species